GAUGAACGCUGACAGAAUGCUUAACACAUGCAAGUCAACUGUGGCGGACGGGUGAGUAACGCGUAAAGAACUUGCCUCACAGAUAGGGACAACAUUUGGAAACGAAAGCUAAUACCUGAUACUGUGAGAGAGCUUUGCGUCCCAUUAGCUAGUUGGAGAGGUAACGGCUCACCAAGGCGAUGAUGGGUAGCCGGCCUGAGAGGGUGAUCGGCCACAAGGGGACUGGGACGAGGCCCUUACUCAUUCUGGAGGCAUCAGUGGGGACUAUUUGACAAUGUACCAAAGUCUGAUCCAGCAAUUCUGUUUGCACGAUGAAUUUUUCGGAAUGUAAAGUGCUUUCAGUUGGGAAGCGGUACCAACAGAAGAAGUGACGGCUAAAUACGUGCCAGCCGCCGCGGUAAUUC
rnacentral:rRNA from 1 species